GCCGAGGUGGUUCCCGAGGCAAUGUCCGAUGCAGAGGCGGUUCCCGAUGCGAUGCCCGAGGCCGAGGCGGUGGCCGAGGCAGAGGCAGAGGCGGUUCCCGAUGCGAUGCCCGAUGCCGAGGCGGUGCCCGAGGCGGUCCCCGAUGCCGAGGCGGUCCCCGAUGCAAUGCCCGAUGCCGAGGCGGUGCCCGAUGCGGUGCCAGAGACGGUGCCAGAGACGGUUCCCGAUGUAAUGCCCGAGACCGAGGCUGUUCUGGAGGUCGAGGCGGUGCCCGAUGUUGUUCCCGAGGCGGUGGCCGAUGCGCAGGCCGAGGUCGUUCCUGAGGUGGUGCCCGAUGCGGAGACCGUUCCCGAGGCGGGGUCCUGGUCCAAUGCCGUUCUUGAGGCCGUUCCUGAGGCCGUCCCUGAGGCCGUUCCUGAGACCGUUCCCGAGGCGGGGUCCUGGUCCGAUGCCGUUCCUGAGACCGUUCCCGAGGCGGUGUCCUGGUCCGAUGCCGUUCCUGAGGCCAUUCCAGAGGCGGUGGCCGAUGCUGUUCCGGAGGCCGAUGCGGGGCCCAAGAUGGCUCCGGAGGCGAUACCCGUGUCCAAGGCCGUUCCCGAGGCGGUGCCCUUGUCUGAGGUCGUUCCUGAUGCUGUUCCCAAUGCCGUGACCGGGCCAUUGCCACAGCCUGCUCCUUACUGGCUCCCCGAUUGGCAGGUUCCGUUCGGGCCACUCAAAUGGCGAAUUCCUCCCUGGCCGUCUGCACAACGAGAAUGGACUGAUCCACCGUGGCCACCUGAACUGCCUGGUCCCUCGUGGUCCCCUGAACUUUCGGGUCCACCGUGGCCCCCUGAUCUGACCAAGCCACCUGGGCUACCAGCAGAGCCAUCGCUGCCGGUCCCAGUUCCCCUACACGGGCCUGGCCCGCCA
ensembl:lncRNA